UACGUAGGGUGCAAGCGUUGUCCGGAAUUAUUGGGCGUAAAGAGCUCGUAGGCGGUCUGUUGCGUCGGCUGUGAAAACCCGGGGCUCAACCCCGGGCCUGCAGCCGAUACGGGCAGACUAGAGUUCGGUAGGGGAGACUGGAAUUCCUGGUGUAGCGGUGAAAUGCGCAGAUAUCAGGAGGAACACCAAUAGCGAAGGCAGCUCGCUGGGACGUUACUGACACUGAGGCGCGAAAGCGUGGGGAGCGAACAGG
rnacentral:rRNA from 1 species